CUCCUCCAUCCUUGGCUUGUCACUUUGGCAUUCCUAAUCUCUUGUAAUUAGGAAGACCCUGUCUUGGACUUCCACAUCUGCUUUCAUCAGGAAGGCCUAUAAGACAGCACAGCAGUCCUGACAAGGUCAACAAGCCGAAGCUGUGAGCGCAAGAUCUUUAUCUACGUGGGAAAUAAGAAAAUCAUUUGACUGAUAAAAGGAAAUACAAUAAAUAGCAUCUAAAUUCCUGGCUGCGUUCCCCCGAGCCCCUCCUUUGCAAGAGAAAGUGCCAGGGCAGGAAUACAACUGCCACUACAGCAGGUUUAAAAAUAGCACUCUGCACACAGCCCUUCCUACCUUCCAGAAAGACUUCAUUACCAGGUCCUCAGCCCUGAGCCUGCAGAGCCGCUGGCUGCGGGCGCUUUCUUGCCCCUGCUCUAGAUUUUUCUUCUUUGGAAGCAUGAAGGCAGCGGGUGUGAUACAUUUCCCUCCCGCUCAGCUAGUUUCAGUCCUAGCACGUCUGGCGCACACAGCGGAAGUCCAUUGUAUUUAAUGGGGUGUUAACUCUGUUUAUUCUCUAGGACUUGUGCGGUAAUUUUACACUCUGCAAAACUAGCAACUUGAACCUGAAGUGCUUUUCCUCCCUUCCGUGCCACUCCAACAGGCCUCUGUCUCCAGGUUCUUCUGCAGGCCUAGAGUUCCCCAGCUGGUUCAACCAAAGUUGCUUCCCACUGUUAACACUGCUGUGGGCCGAGACAGGCUUGCCUCUCUUACAGACUUGUUUUUGCCAUCUAUUAAGUGGGGAUUUGGAUCUUCCUUGUGUACCUAGAAAAGCUGUUGACACUGGUCCUCUAGUUCCCAGCUGCUGGGUCACAUGUGUAUCUCCUGUUAAGACUGUUAAUGUAAGUGACCAGAUGAUCCCAGCUAGACUAAAUCUCUGAGUCUCCAUCAAAACAGACAAAGCAGGGGCUGGAGGGAUGGCUCAGUGAGUAAGAGCACUUGCUGUCCUUGCAGAUGACUCCAUUUGGUUUCCAGCUCACCACUGCCUAUAACUCCAGUUCAGAGGAUCCCACAUCAUCUUCUGACCUCUAAGGGCACCGUACACACAUGGUGC
rnacentral:lncRNA from 1 species